UUGCAGAGUGCCUGUUGGAAGUGCUGCCUGUUGUGGUGGAAGGGUCAAAAAAUGCUCGUCAGCUGCUGCUGGAAGGGAAUGGGCAAGAACAGAAAGAUAAGCAGGCAGGGGAAUCUAGAGAUUUCUGUAAAAUCUAUGGAAGAGUCAGAAAUGGAAGCCAAGCAGUGGAAGAUGAUGUGACCCAUAACACACUGAGACCCUGUGAUAGAUAAUAUACGAACCCACACUGCUCCCUCUUGCCUAUAAACCAGUGCCUGCUAAGUGAAUCCCCUCUUGCCUGCCUUCCCUGAGUGCCUGUAGAGCUGUGUUCAAACUGCUGGAAGGAGCUGCGCUGCAAAAGGAACAGGGAAGGAUGAAACCAGUCAGUAGGUGAGUACCAGCCAAUGCAACAAUCAAGGAACUGGUCUAUGUAAAUCACGUAGUUGGUUUUUUUAGUAUUUUUUUUUACAAAAAAGCAGACACCAUAAUAGCAGAAUGGACAAAUUUGUACAUAAAACUGGCUCAGUUCCAGUUAUAGAGUGAUUCCCUGAAGUGGUACGGAUUUGCUUCAUCUCACAGUGGAUUAUUUUAUAAUAGCCCAAGUUUUAUCAAAUAUGAGAACAAGAACCUUAAAGCUUUACUGUCAGUGAAAGAUUAUAAAGGUUCUGGGCAAAGGGACAAAAAUUAGGAAGUGAUUUGAAAGCAUUUAGAAAUCAGAUGUUGAGGCCUGGUCUCUUACACAGUAGUUGGACAAAGAAACAAAACCUGCAACUACUGAAGACUAUCGUAAAUGUUCUGUGAUAGGAUUUGAAGUGAAGUAAUUUAAGGAAGUAUGUGAUAAAGAUUAUUCCUUCCAGAUCGUAGCCAUAGAAAAAUGCCAGGAAAACUGAGGAAAUUUUG